AACACGCUCCUUAGAUCCACCUCUGGAGGGCGCUGUUCUCAGAGCAGUGCUCCUCAGCAGCUUUCUGGCUGUACAGUUGGAGGUGCUUGAGUCAUUGGCGUGUGAGAACAGUCUACCUGUCCUCCAGCUCACCUGCAUCACUGGCAGCUGUCCUUUACAGACGGUCGUCUCCCAGUGCUGCAAACCUGGAGGACGGACACA